GGGGGUUUUUUAUUUUUGGGUGUGACAAGGCAUAAGAGGUUUUUAAGUCUGUAUACGAAGACGAAGUCUUUGGCUAAGAGAUUUCGCGAGUGUUGUUAAAAAAAAAUUGCUGAGUUUUUUUUUUUUUUUUGGGUGGCUUUGUUCUUCUUUUUGUACUUAUAAUAUAAGUGUUUGUUGAAUUUUAGAGAUACAUUGUGAAACAGAGUUCCCUUAGAAUAAGUGCAUAUUUAGGAAAGGUUCCAUCUAGAAAAAACUUGGUACUUAAAAGUUGUACACAAUUGAUUUUGUCUAGGAAAGACAUGGUGCACAAGUUUUUUUUCUACAAUCUUAAGGAUAUUUUGGAUACUAUUCAUAUUGUUUUUGUCACUAAUAACAAUAUUCCCAC
rnacentral:lncRNA from 1 species